UACGGGGGGGGCAAGCGUUGUUCGGAAUUACUGGGCGUAAAGGGUUCGUAGGUGGCCAACUAAGUCAGACGUGAAAUCCCUCAGCUUAACUGGGGAACUGCGUCUGAUACUGGAUGGCUUGAGUGCAGGAGAGGAACGCGGAAUUCCAGGUGUAGCGGUGAAAUGCGUAGAUAUCUGGAGGAACACCGGUGGCGAAGGCGGCGUUCUGGACUGCAACUGACACUGAGGAACGAAAGCCAGGAGAGCAAACGGG
rnacentral:rRNA from 1 species